rnacentral:rRNA from 1 species
UACGGAGGGUGCAAGCGUUAUCCGGAUUCACUGGGUUUAAAGGGUGCGUAGGUGGGUUUGUAAGUCAGUGGUGAAAUCUCCAAGCUUAACUUGGAAACUGCCGUUGAUACUAUAAAUCUUGAAUGUUGUGGAGGUGAGCGGAAUAUGUCAUGUAGCGGUGAAAUGCUUAGAUAUGACAUAGAACACCAAUUGCGAAGGCAGCUUACUACACAGUAAUUGACGCUGAGGCACGAAAGCGUGGGGAUCAAACAGG